rnacentral:rRNA from 1 species
CGAAUGCUGACAUAAGUAACGAUAAAGCGGGUGAAAAGCCCGCUCGCCGGAAGACCAAGGGUUCCUGUCCAACGUUAAUCGGGGCAGGGUGAGUCGACCCCUAAGGCGAGGCCGAAAGGCGUAGUCGAUGGGAAACAGGUUAAUAUUCCUGUACUUGGUGUUACUGCGAAGGGGGGACGGAGAAGGCUAUGUUGGCCGGGCGACGGUUGUCCCGGUUUAAGCGUGUAGGCUGGUUUUCCAGGCAAAUCCGGAAAAUCAAGGCUGAGGCGUGAUGACGAGGCACUACGGUGCUGAAGCAACAAAUGCCCUGCUUCCAGGAAAAGCCUCUAAGCAUCAGGUAACAUCAAAUCGUACCCCAAACCGACACAGGUGGUCAGGUAGAGAAUACCAAGGCGCUUGAGAGAACUCGGGUGAAGGAACUAGGCAAAAUGGUGCCGUAACUUCGGGAGAAGGCACGCUGAUAUGUAGGUGAAGUCCCUCGCGGAUGGAGCUGAAAUCAGUCGAAGAUACCAGCUGGCUGCAACUGUUUAUUAAAAACACAGCACUGUGCAAACACGAAAGUGGACGUAUACGGUGUGACGCCUGCCCGGUGCCGGAAGGUUAAUUGAUGGGGUUAGCGCAAGCGAAGCUCUUGAUUGAAGCCCCGGUAAACGGCGGCCGUAACUAUAACGGUCCUAAGGUAGCGAAAUUCCUUGUCGGGUAAGUUCCGACCUGCACGAAUGGCGUAAUGAUGGCCAGGCUGUCUCCACCCGAGACUCAGUGAAAUUGAACUCGCUGUGAAGAUGCAGUGUACCCGCGGCAAGACGGAAAGACCCCGUGAACCUUUACUAUAGCUUGACACUGAACAUUGAGCCUUGAUGUGUAGGAUAGGUGGGAGGCUUUGAAGUGUGGACGCCAGUCUGCAUGGAGCCGACCUUGAAAUACCACCCUUUAAUGUUUGAUGUUCUAACGUGGACCCGUAAUCCGGGUUGCGGACAGUGUCUGGUGGGUAGUUUGACUGGGGCGGUCUCCUCCUAAAGAGUAACGGAGGAGCACGAAGGUUGGCUAAUCCUGGUCGGACAUCAGGAGGUUAGUGCAAUGGCAUAAGCCAGCUUGACUGCGAGCGUGACGGCGCGAGCAGGUGCGAAAGCAGGUCAUAGUGAUCCGGUGGUUCUGAAUGGAAGGGCCAUCGCUCAACGGAUAAAAGGUACUCCGGGGAUAACAGGCUGAUACCGCCCAAGAGUUCAUAUCGACGGCGGUGUUUGGCACCUCGAUGUCGGCUCAUCACAUCCUGGGGCUGAAGUAGGUCCCAAGGGUAUGGCUGUUCGCCAUUUAAAGUGGUACGCGAGCUGGGUUUAGAACGUCGUGAGACAGUUCGGUCCCUA